CGACCCCUAAGGCGAGGCCGAAAGGCGUAGUCGAUGGGAAACAGGUUAAUAUUCCUGUACUUGGUGUUACUGCGAAGGGGGGACGGAGAAGGCUAUGUUGGCCGGGCGACGGUUGUCCCGGUUUAAGCGUGUAGGCUGGUUUUCCAGGCAAAUCCGGAAAAUCAAGGCUGAGGCGUGAUGACGAGGCACUACGGUGCUGAAGCAACAAAUGCCCUGCUUCCAGGAAAAGCCUCUAAGCAUCAGGUAACAUCAAAUCGUACCCCAAACCGACACAGGUGGUCAGGUAGAGAAUACCAAGGCGCUUGAGAGAACUCGGGUGAAGGAACUAGGCAAAAUGGUGCCGUAACUUCGGGAGAAGGCACGCUGAUAUGUAGGUGAAGUCCCUCGCGGAUGGAGCUGAAAUCAGUCGAAGAUACCAGCUGGCUGCAACUGUUUAUUAAAAACACAGCACUGUGCAAACACGAAAGUGGACGUAUACGGUGUGACGCCUGCCCGGUGC
rnacentral:rRNA from 1 species